UGUUGAGGGAGGAGACAAGCAGACCAUAUGCUGUACCUGAUGACUCAGGACUAGAGCAAUUGAGGCCCGGAGCAGGAGGACCGGGCAGCCUUUUCUGGAGAGCAACCUCAGCCAAGGAGCGGAUGCCAUAAUUGCUUUCCCUUUUACCUCACCACUGGGACAGCUCUGAACACUUUAUAGAGUUUGCUCCCUCAAGCUUGCAUUCCUUACUUCUCAUAGAAGCAAAAUACUGCAUUUCUUUUGAUCUCAUAGAAAUGAAAAGGACUCUCUACGCCAUGGCUUUUGGUCUUGGUUUCUGUUUCUUUGAAUUUGGCUCCUUGGUGGGGUCCUGGGGAUACUUGCACUUCACUAUUGUUCAAGCUUUCAACUGAACUUAGAGAAACCUUGAGAUAUCUGAUAAUCUAGAAAACAUCUGGUCAUUUCUUCUUUCAUAAGUCCUUGCAUUUCUGUUGGAGUGGAAUUACUGGAUUAUGAGGUAUGAACAUGCUCAGUUUUAGCAGAUACUGCCAGUUUUCCAAAGUGGUUAUAUGCUUCACACUUCCACCAGCAAUGAGUUCCAGUUGUUCCACAUCCUCAUCAGCAAUGUUAUUGUAAUGAAUAUACUCUCCAGUAGAAACGUUAUUGUUUUGCCUUUCACAAAGAUCUACAAUCCACCUGAAAUACAUAUUUGCAUGUACUCUGACGUAGAGAAUGUUUCAUUUUGUCCACGUGUAUCCAAUUGUCCCAGCAGUACUUAUUAAAAAGAUUAUCGUUUUUCCAUGGUUGUAUAGUGCCACCUUUGUCUUAACUCUAUAGUCCACAUAUGUAGACUCUACUUUUUUUCCCUUGGUUAUCUUUGAUUCCUUGAGAAAAUAUCAU
rnacentral:lncRNA from 10 species